rnacentral:rRNA from 1 species
AUUGAACGCUGGCGGCAGGCUUAACACAUGCAAGUCGAGCGGAGCGGCGGACGGGUGAGUAAUGCUUAGGAAUCUGCCUAUUAGUGGGGGACAACAUCUCGAAAGGGAUGCUAAUACCGCAUACUAAUAGAUGCGCCUCAGUCGGAUUGGCUAGUUGGUGGGGUAAAGGCCUACCAAGGCGACGAUCUGUAGCGGGUCUGAGAGGAUGAUCCGCCACACGGGGACUGAGACCAGGCCCAGAAUCCUACGGGAGGCAGCAGUGGGGAAUAUUGGGCAAUGGGGGGAAACCUGAUCCAGCCAUGCCGCGUGUGUGAAGAAGGCCUUAUGGUUGUAAAGCACUUUAAGCGAGGAGGCGUUACUCGCAGAAUAAGCACCGGCUAACUCUGUGCCAGCAGCCGCGGUAAUUC